GUCUACGGCAUUGCUACCCUGAAGAAGCCCGAUCCCGUCUGAUCUUGGAAGCUAAGCAGGGUCAGGCCUGGUUAGUACUUGGAUAGGAGAACACUUAGGAAGACUGGGUGCUGUAGGCG
rnacentral:rRNA from 1 species